rnacentral:rRNA from 1 species
GAAUCCCACAGGCCGUAAACCCAAGGUUUCCAGGGGAAGGUUCGUCCGCCCUGGGUUAGUCGGGACCUAAGCUGCGGCCGAAAGGCGUAGGUGAUGGACAACAGGUUGAUAUUCCUGUACUACCGAUAACCGUUUGAGAGAAGGGAUGACACAGUAGGAUAAGCUAAGCACACUGUUGGUUAUGUGUGCCCAAGCAUUGAGGCAGUCAAAGUAGG